rnacentral:rRNA from 1 species
GAGCGCCGUAGCAAUACGGAGCGGCAGACGGGAGAGUAACACGUGGGAACGUGCCCUUCAGUUCGGAACAACCCAGGGAAACUUGGGCUAAUACCGGAUACGUCCGUAAGGAGAAAGAUUUAUUGCCGAGGGAUCGGCCCGCGUCCGAUUAGCUAGUUGGUGGGGUAAUGGCCUACCAAGGCAACGAUCCAUAGCUGGUCUGAGAGGAUGAUCAGCCACACUGGGACUGAGACACGGCCCAGACUCCUACGGGAGGCAGCAGUGGGGAAUAUUGGACAAUGGGCGCAAGCCUGAUCCAGCCAUGCCGCGUGAGUGAAGAAGGCCUUAGGGUUGUAAAGCUCUUUUGGCGGGGACGAUAAUGACGGUACCCGCAGAAUAAGCCCCGGCUAACUUCGUG